CCUACGGGUGGCAGCAGUGAGGAAUAUUGGUCAAUGGGCGCGAGCCUGAACCAGCCAAGUAGCGUGAAGGAUGAAUGCCCUACGGGUUGUAAACUUCUUUUAUAAAGGAAUAAAGUGAGGCACGUGUGCCUUUUUGUAUGUACUUUAUGAAGAAGGAUCGGCUAACUCCGUGCCAGCAGCAGCGGUAAUACGGAGGAUCCGAGCGUUAUCCGGAUUUAUUGGGUUUAAAGGGCGCGUAGAUGGGUUGUUAAGUCAGUUGUGAAAGUUUGCGGCUCAACCGUAAAAUUGCAAUUGAUACUGGCAGCCUUGAGUACAGUAGAGGUAGGCGGAAUUCGUGGUGUAGCGGUGAAAUGCUUAGAUAUCACGAAGAACUCCGAUUGCGAAGGCAGCUUACUAGACUGUAACUGACAUUGAUGCUCGAAAGUGUGGGUAUCAAACAGGAUUAGAUACCCGUGUAGUC
rnacentral:rRNA from 1 species